rnacentral:rRNA from 1 species
AACGCUAGCUACAGGCUUAACACAUGCAAGUCGAGGGGCAGCGCAGUGUAGCAAUACAUGGGUGGCGACCGGCGCACGGGUGCGUAACGCGUAUCCAACCUUCCCGUUACUCAGGGAUAGCCUUCCGAAAGGGAGAUUAAUACCUGAUGGUGUUUGAAUUCCGCAUGUUAUUCAAACUAAAGAUUUAUCGGUAACGGAUGGGGAUGCGUGACAUUAGAUAGUAGGCGGGGUAACGGCCCACCUAGUCUACGAUGUCUAGGGGUUCUGAGAGGAAGGUCCCCCACACUGGAACUGAGACACGGUCCAGACUCCUACGGGAGGCAGCAGUGAGGAAUAUUGGUCAAUGGUCGGAAGACUGAACCAGCCAAGUAGCGUGAAGGAUGAAGGUUCUAUGGAUUGUAAACUUCUUUUAUACGGGAAUAAAACCUCCCACGUGUGGGAGCUUGUAUGUACCGUAUGAAUAAGCAUCGGCUAACUCCGUGCCAGCAGCCGCGGUAAUACGGAGGAUGCGAGCGUUAUCCGGAUUUAUUGGGUUUAAAGGGAGCGUAGACGGGAGAUUAAGUCAGUUGUGAAAGGCUGCGGCUCAACCGCAGCACUGCAGUUGAUACUGGUUUCCUUGAGUGCGGUUGAGGUGUAUGGAAUUCGUGGUGUAGCGGUGAAAUGCUUAGAUAUCACGAAGAACUCCGAUUG